rnacentral:rRNA from 1 species
GAUGAACGCUGGCGGCGUGCCUAAUACAUGCAAGUCGAGCGAACGGACGAGAAGCUUGCUUCUCUGAUGUUAGCGGCGGACGGGUGAGUAACACGUGGAUAACCUACCUAUAAGACUGGGAUAACUUCGGGAAACCGGAGCUAAUACCGGAUAAUAUUUUGAACCGCAUGGUUCAAAAGUGAAAGACGGUCUUGCUGUCACUUAUAGAUGGAUCCGCGCUGCAUUAGCUAGUUGGUAAGGUAACGGCUUACCAAGGCAACGAUGCAUAGCCGACCUGAGAGGGGGAUCGGCCACACGGGAGCUGAGACACGGUCCAGACGCCUACGGGAGGCAGCAGUAGGGAAUCUGCCGCAGUGGGGGAGAGCCUUACAGAGCAACGCCGCGUGAGAGAUGAAGGUCUUCGGAGCGUGAAACUCUGUUAUUAGGGAAGAACAUAUGUGUAAGUAACUGUGCACAUCUUGACGGUACCUAAUCAGAAAGCCACGGCUAACUACGUG